rnacentral:rRNA from 1 species
AACGUCUCAGUUCGGAUUGUAGUCUGCAACUCGACUACAUGAAGCUGGAAUCGCUAGUAAUCGCAGAUCAGAAUGCUGCGGUGAAUACGUUCCCGGGUCUUGUACACACCGCCCGUCACACCAUGAGAGUCGGGAACACCCGAAGUCCGUAGCCUAACUGCAAAGGGGCGCGGCCGAAGGUGGGUUCGAUAAUUGGGGUGAAGUCGUAACAAGGUAUC